GAUGAACGCUGGCGGCGUGCCUAAUACAUGCAAGUCGAGCGAACAGAUGAGGAGCUUGCUCCUCUGACGUUAGCGGCGGACGGGUGAGUAACACGUGGAUAACCUACCUAUAAGACUGGGAUAACUUCGGGAAACCGGAGCUAAUACCGGAUAAUAUAUUGAACCGCAUGGUUCAAUAGUGAAAGACGGUUUUGCUGUCACUUAUAGAUGGAUCCGCGCCGCAUUAGCUAGUUGGUAAGGUAACGGCUUACCAAGGCGACGAUGCGUAGCCGACCUGAGAGGGUGAUCGGCCACACUGGAACUGAGUCACGGUCCAGACUCCUACGGGAGGCAGCAGUAGGGAAUCUUCCGCAAUGGGCGAAAGCCUGACGGAGCAACGCCGCGUGAGUGAUGAAGGUCUUCGGAUCGUAAAACUCUGUUAUUAGGGAAGAACAAAUGUGUAAGUAACUAUGCACGUCUUGACGGUACCUAAUCAGAAAGCCACGGCUAACUACGUG
rnacentral:rRNA from 1 species